rnacentral:rRNA from 1 species
UACGUAGGGUGCAAGCGUUAAUCGGAAUUACUGGGCGUAAAGCGUGCGCAGGCGGUUUUGUAAGUUUGUCGUGAAAUCCCCGGGCUCAACCUGGGAAUGGCAUUUGUGACUGGAAGGCUAGAGUGUGUCAGAGGGGGGUAGAAUUCCACGUGUAGCAGUGAAAUGCGUAGAGAUGUGGAGGAAUACCGAUGGCGAAGGCAGCCCCCUGGGAUAACACUGACGCUCAUGCACGAAAGCGUGGGGAGCAAACAGG